rnacentral:snRNA from 1 species
GGAUGUGAGGGCGAUCUGGCUGCGACAUCUGUCACCCCAUUGAUCGCCAGGGUUGAUUCGGCUGAUCUGGCUGGCUAGGCGGGUGUCCCCCUCCUCCCUCACCGAUCCAUGUGCGUCCCUCCCAAAGCUGCGCACUCGGUCGAAGAGGACGACCUUCCCCCCCGAGGAGAGGACCGGUCUUCGGUCAAGGGUAUACGAGUAGCUGCGCUCCCCUGCUAGAACCUCCAAACAAGCUCUCAGAUAGGGUAGCAGAUUUGUGACAGCCCUACACUUCACAGGCAUCCCCAAAGUGAACAUACAAGCUUU